GGUCCGACAGCCCCCCAGGGCACCAGCAGAGGCCAGGCUGCCCACCCAGUGUGCAGACACUUCCUAUCUCUCUGGGCUCACCCCAUUCAUCUCGAUCACAUCUGUGUGCCAGUGCUUCGUUUCUACAGUUUGUGGAUCCAGCUGCAAAGAAAGAAAGAGAGAGAACGUGAGAGAGAGAGAGAGAGAUGACAGCUGAGACCAAGCCAGAGCUCUCCCUGCUGCUCAGCCACAGCUCACAAGUUGGCUAAAAGACGCAGAAACCGAGGCUCACAAACCAUCAGCAACUUGCUCAACUUCCUGAACUGGAGUUGACAGCAGGGGACGCAGCCCGUGUACCUGGAGGUGGCGAACGGGAGGCGGUGCCACAUAGAGGUGAAGAGCCCUGGGUCUGAAUCCCAGCUCUGCCACUGCCGACUGUGUGACGUUGGGAAGUUUUCACCUUGCUAAACCUCAUUUGUUUCAGCUGUUCACUGCAGCCAGUAAAGAACCUGCCUUGCUGGACUGUCGUGAAGACUCAGUAAGAUAACGGGUAAACGGCUGGUCUCCCAGAAAGCAAACACUCCGUAGAGGAGGCCCCCAGACUGGGCAGGAGCCCCAGGGAAGUGGGGAUGGCAGGGGGAGGCGCAGAGACAUCCACAGGUGAUCAAACGGGACUCUGUUUCUCUGGUUCAGUGGCCUUCAAACUGUUUUCCCUGUGCAUCCGUAAAGUCAUCUGGAAAACCAGUGCACACCCUGGCACAUUCUUAAGUCAACAUGUGAAUGUUUCCAGAGCAAGUUUAAAUAGCUGCAAAGAAUAUAAUUUCCAGAAUAAUGUAAAUAUUUACAUCUUAAAAUAAAACUGUUACAUCAUU